rnacentral:lncRNA from 1 species
UCAUUCAAAUAAAUCAAUAUUAUCUACUACAAAGGUGGAUCAUUACUUAUUAAAUUGCUACCGUCCUUAUGAACUACUUCUGAGAAGCAACUCUAACUAUUGAGGGUGAAAUUGCUGUAUUUGGAACCAAAAAAGUCCAUAUAAAAUAUUGUAAAGGAUCAAUUCUAUUUGUUGGUUGGGUUCCCAUCAAUUACAUAUUCUUUUCACCUCAAUAAUUCACAUGCACUGCAUGAUUGAAAUAAGGCUC